rnacentral:lncRNA from 1 species
CUCCGAGCCGCUGCCGCCCCGACGCCGGGCGAUGGACGCGCCCAGGGCCGCGAGCCUCCGGCCCAGCCGGUUUGCCGCCGGCUCCUGCCAAAAAAUCCUCACGAAAAUAAGAGCUGAGCCCAGAUUCCCGGCAGGCCGACAGGAGAGGGGUUGUUGCCGGGCGCCCGGCCAGGCGGGGGACGCUUACCGCUGCAUUUUAAUUGUCCGGGCGGGAGCUGCUAAUCACGGCCCGACGGCGACCGAAGCCCCGGGCGUGCGUCCGUGCCCGUCCCGCGGCGCUGCCGGGGCGCACGCAGAGGUCGUCCGGGCCCGGUCCCACGGCGCAGCCCCCGCGGCCGCUCUGCCCAAACAAACGGAGCAGAGUGAGGCCGUGAGGUGCCAGCGCGGCGGCACCGACGGCGGGCACCGGGAGCCGAGCGGUGCGGCGAUGCCGGCCCGGCAGCACCGCGGUGCCGGUGCGAACUGGGCUGCUGCGACUGGCGGGUUCUAUUUUGGGAGCCGUCCCGGUGGCUUCUCAAGUGACAAACACGCCAGGGGGGUGGCAGACAGCCCGGCGGGGGCCGAGCGCCGUGCGGAGCCGCCGCGGGGCUGGCAGCGGGCACGGUGGCCCCGGUGCUCGCGGCGAGGGCCGCUCGCCCACGUCCCCGCCGGGCGCCCCCAGAGCCGCUGCCCCCGCCCCGAGCAGCGCCACGGACGCGUUCGCCGGGGACCGGCAGCGCCCGGCCUCGCACCGGCUCCAUCCCCAGCUCCGUACCGGCUCCGGCCCCGGCACCGCUUCCCGGUGGCAGUGCCCGUCCCGGCCCGCGGCGAGGCAAACCGGCCGUUCACGCACCGGGAGCUGGCGGCUCCCGGCGGCGAUGCUCGGCCCGAGCGCCCAAAUCCCCCCGCCGGCUCGGCUCCCGCUAACCUAAAUAAGUCGGUACGGCGGCGGGAGCAUGUGCAGAGCGGAGCCCUCCCCCCGCUCCUGAAAUAUUAAUGCCGCGGGAUGAGCCGAGCCGGGAGCGGCCGGGCUGCGGGACACGCUCGCAUCCCCGGCCGGCGACCGGCCGCCGGGCACGGCUGUCCCCAGUGUCCCCCCGGGAGGCACCG